rnacentral:tRNA from 1 species
AGUCUUAUAUUCAUUAAAUGAUUUCAGAUUGCAAAUUUGAAGGUGAUCCUUGAUCUAAGGCUU